CAGUCGAACGAGUUCUCGUUGAUGAUCGGUGCUUGCACCGAGAUUCAACAUGGAACGAGUGGCGGACGGGUGAGUAACACGUGGGUAACCUGCCCUUAAGUGGGGGAUAACAUUUGGAAACAGAUGCUAAUACCGCAUAGAUCCAAGAACCGCAUGGUUCUUGGCUGAAAGAUGGCGUAAGCUAUCGCUUUUGGAUGGACCCGCGGCGUAUUAGCUAGUUGGUGAGGUAAUGGCUCACCAAGGCGAUGAUACGUAGCCGAACUGAGAGGUUGAUCGGCCACAUUGGGACUGAGACACGGCCCAAACUCCUACGGGAGGCAGCAGUAGGGAAUCUUCCACAGUGGACGCAAGUCUGAUGGAGCAACGCCGCGUGAGUGAAGAAGGCUUUCGGGUCGUAAAACUCUGUUGUUGGAGAAGAAUGGUCGGCAGAGUAACUGUUGCCGGCGUGACGGUAUCCAACCAGAAAGCCACGGCUAACUACGUGCCAGCAGCCGCGGUAAUACGUAGGUGGCAAGCGUUAUCCGGAUUUAUUGGGCGUAAAGCGAGCGCAGGCGGUUUUUUAAGUCUGAUGUGAAAGCCCUCGGCUUAACCGAGGAAGCGCAUCGGAAACUGGGAAACUUGAGUGCAGAAGAGGACAGUGGAACUCCAUGUGUAGCGGUGAAAUGCGUAGAUAUAUGGAAGAACACCAGUGGCGAAGGCGGCUGUCUGGUCUGUAACUGACGCUGAGGCUCGAAAGCAUGGGUAGCGAACAGGAUUAGAUACCCUGGUAGUCCAUGCCGUAAACGAUGAAUGCU
rnacentral:rRNA from 1 species